UUCUCUUUCAAAAGUGAAGGAUCUAGAAGUGGAGCUAAAAUCACUUCAGAAUCUGAAACAUGAAUUGGAAGAGCAGCUGACAAGCAAGGAUGAGACAAUUGUUCAGAUGAAAAAUGACAAGGAGAUGAUGCACGAUAAAAUUUCUGAAAUUGAGAGGGCAUUAACUGAGAGAGAAAGUGAACUAGCCAUUUUAAGGAAGAACUCUGAAGAUGGGGAAAUUGAAUCAUCUGCUCAGAUUGCUGCCUUAACUUUGCAGCUGAGCAAUCUGAAAGAGCACUCGGAGAAUCUGCAAGUUGAGAAGUCUCAAAUAGAGUCUCAACUUGAGGCAAAAGCUGGAGAAGCAUCAGAAUACCUCACCCAGUUGGAAAAGUUGAAGGGGGAAUUAGCAAGGAAUACAUCAGAAGGCCAGAGAAUGCUGGAAGAGAAGGAAGGUCUAGUGG
rnacentral:misc_RNA from 1 species